GAUCGGAUUGGGGAGGUGUUGUUGAAGACGACUCAACUACCAGAAUUGAUGAUCAACGAUGAUUCCAAGCAUCUCAAACCCUAGCCGCAGUGAUUAAGAUCGAUCUGACGAGGCAAAAUAGAAGAACGACAAGGAGUAUCAGGGAGCCUGCGAACCUUGGAACCAUUUUUGGAGUAGCCCAGAAGCAAAGGCCGGUCUAGAAAUUCGAAGGCUCGAUGCUCUGUUUCUGAUGAGGCUGUCGAUGAGAGAGAGUAGAGUGUCGCCUGAUUUGAAAGUGUUUCGGUGGAGCCGGUGAUUACGCUCAGUCCAGAUACAAUAGAUUGUUGCUUGCCAGCCCAGAAGUUGCAGUGAUUUAGUUGUCUUAUUACCUUGAAGUGAUUGCAGCGAUUCCAGAAUAUCAUCCCAACGACGGAGGAGAGCACACAGAAGACACGAAGGGCUAGUUUGGAGGCCCCAACUUAGAAUCCGAUCUCUGGUUGGACAUCGAUUAAGGGUGAAUAGCCAUGUCAAGAACAUAUGCUUAGGGAUUCCACCCGAGAACCAUACAUGCUGCGACCAAGAGAGGUUGAUAGAAGUUAAAAAGAUUUGAAAAUGGAGCUGGUGAUCUGAUCGUGCAUGUGGAAUUCUCCAGGCGUUGUCUCUCCAUAAAGAGUGCAGGGAAGAGCUAGAGCAGAUACCUAGUCGUUGUGGACCCAAGUGACCCAAAUAGAGCUUGAGAUUUCCAAAUGGAGACCAGUUGUCUGACCAGAAGAGGCAACUUUUGCCAUUUUCCACUUUGAGCUUGAUCAGCGGGUUGUCAGAAAGAACUUCUUUUUUGUAGCAGGCUACCCAAACAGAUCCAGCUUUAAAGAAAAGGAGCCAGAUCAGCUUGAAUAUACAUGCUUUAUUCCAACUCAACAGAUCUCUUAACCCAAGACCCCCUUCUUCCUUCGACAAGGGAGGACAAAGGAGCUGCACCAGAAGUUUGUGAUCCCUGCGAUGACACUAUUAAGGAGUUGUAGGCGACCUGCAAAUGACAGAGAUCUAGCAGACCAAGUAGACAUUCUGCUCUUGAUCUUAUGAAGAAGCGGUUCACAAUUUAGGAAGGAUUUCAGGAGAUGUGAGACCAGAAGAAAAGAACGAAGUCUUUGAGAUGCUAAGACCCAGGCCAGAGACCGCUUCAAACUCCCUUAAAAUUUGAAGAAUGUUUUGAACGGAUGAAGCCGAACCUUCAGAGAAGAUAAGUAAAUCAUCUGCAAAACAUAGAUGAGUGAGUUUUGUGUCUUUGCAUUUGGCAUGAUAUGAAAAUUUUCCUUCCUCAGCCACUUUGUUUAGGAGAAGAGAUAAGCAGUUCAUUGCAAUGACAAAAAGAUAGGGAGAUAAAGGGUCGCCCUGUCGGAGUCCUCUCUUUCCUUUGAAAAACUCAUUCACUGUUCCAUUGAAACCAACUGUGAAAGCGGGAGUGCAAAUACAUGCUUCCAGCCAGCGAAGGUAGUCUCCAGGGAUCUCUAAUCCACUC